GACAAACGCUGGCGGCGUGCGUAACACAUGCAAGUCGAACGGGGUGGUUUCUUCGGAGGCCACCGAGUGGCGGACGGGUGCGUGACACGUGGACAACCUACCGGGCGCAGGGGGAUACCCUCCAGAAAUGGGGGCUAAGACCGCAUACGCUGGCCAUUUGUACGGAGUGGUCAGGAAAAACGCGAGUUGGCGUCUGAUGGGUCUGCGGCCGAUUAGCUGGUUGGUGGGGUAACGGCUCACCAAGGCGACGAUCGGGAGCUGGUCUGAGAGGAUGAUC
rnacentral:rRNA from 1 species